rnacentral:tRNA from 1 species
AUCUCGUAGCUUAGUGGUCAAAGCUUUGGUGCGUAAAGCCAAAGGUGUCCCGCGUUCGAUUCCCGGCGGGGAUG